UACGAAGGGGGCUAGCGUUGCUCGGAAUCACUGGGCGUAAAGCGCACGUAGGCGGAUUGUUAAGUCAGGGGUGAAAUCCUGGAGCUCAACUCCAGAACUGCCUUUGAUACUGGCGAUCUCGAGUCCGGGAGAGGUGAGUGGAACUGCGAGUGUAGAGGUGAAAAUUCGUAGAUAUUCGCAAGAACACCAGUGGCGAAGGCGGACUUACUGGUCCGGUUCUGGACGCUGAGGCGCGAAAGCGUGGGGGAGCAAACAGGG
rnacentral:rRNA from 1 species